rnacentral:lncRNA from 1 species
ACGUGGGGUCUUGGGACUUUACUGUCUGCCUCCUAAAAGAGACCCUUGACCAGCUGAUCACCGCUGUCACAGGUGAGGACUGCGCUGACCCUGAGAUCCUAGAAUAGCUCCGGGCGCGGCCAGACCCCACAUGCAGCCCUGCCCCAUGCUGCCCUNNNNNNNNNNNNNNNNNNNNNNNNNNNNNNNNNNNNNNNNNCGUGUCAUGAAAGCAGGUGAAGCAGGAGCACCUUUCUCAGUAAAUAAGCUUCUCCCAGCCAACUUGUCAUCAGGUGAAGAUGCAGGACUUAUGAGUAUGAAGCGUGAUCCUCUCUCUGCGUGUCUCCUCCUCAUUCUUUUCGUUUUUCUGCGGCUUCCCAGGGGAGCUCGUCCCCGCCUGCCCCCACUGGUCCCUCGGUGGUCCCUCCCUGCCCCCGCAGGCCGAGUGAGUGGAGGCGGCUGAGCUCUGGGGUAGCAGAGGCUUUGAUCUCGACCUGGAGUGCAGGUUGUCCUGGGAGGUACAGGCUGCUUUUGUACGUUGCCUCUGUUUCUGCCUCGCUGCCCCCCCGCCAUCGUUAUCCUUCGUAAUCGGUCGCCAAAGAUGCUCCCUGUCUCCUUGGAACAUACAGCCUUUGCCCCACGGAGAGCCUGCGGGAACCGGAGCGCUGUCCUGCAGAACGAGGAUUUGCCUCGGCCUGGGACCAGGGGUCUGCAGAGUGUCCCCAGGGCCCGCAGGUGGUGUGGGGCACGCUCCUUAGGACACCUGGGGAUGGGGGCUGCUCAGACCAGAGCGGGUGCUCCGGGUGUCCAGACAGCCAGCUCUCUGUCCUCCACAGCGACCAGGUCACAUCUCCGAGCUCACACUCGGUUCUUGAGUAAACACCUUCCACUUACAUUUCUUCUCUGCUUGUGAUGCCAGUUUCACCAUUUGCUGCUUGGAAGGAGGGGCCGCAGGUUUUUCAGGUUAUCAUGUUCCUUGGGUUUUCUGUAUCUUCACAGGUAUUUUUGGUCAGCUGUCCUUCCUAGGAAUGUGUCCUUUUGUACAUUUUCAAGUUUUUUGCCCCAGAGCUGUUCCCAGUUUCCUCCUACGACAGUUGCGCAGGGCUCGCUUCGCUUGGGGCUCCGCUCGGACACUGUCCACGCCGACGCUCUGGUCCCCUCGCUUCUCCUGGCGAAACUCUGCCAGCUCGCCUGAGCCGUUCACAGAACCACCUUUGCAGCUUUCUCUGCGUGCUUUAUGUCAUUCAUUUCUGCUUUCUAAGUCAUUUCCUUCCUUCUUUAUAAUUUACUUUCUGCUUUUCUGACUUACGUUUUGUGUCGUUUUCAGCCUCCCGAGGUUUCUGCCACACUGAGGCAUAGCAUCCAUCGUGGUCCCUCUGCGAACUUUCUGCUGCAACUAUACCCUGUGACAAGGCACCCCCCCUUUUUUUUACUAUUCAGGUCAAUAGAUUUUAAAAUAUCUAAUUGAUUUAAUAUUUGAUUGGCGAUAACUUCUGAAUUUCUAAGCAUAUGAAGAUUUGUCCAAGUAUCUGCUUUUUUUUUUCUUUUUUUUCUUUUCUUUUUAGCUUCAAUGAAUUUUGGUCACAAUAUAUACUGACUGACCUGUCUUUUAAAACUUGUCGAGACCCGCUUUAUGGCCCACAUGCGGUCACAUUUCGGAAACGCUCUGGGAGUCUUUGAAAACAUUGCAUUCAGCAGCACGUGAGGUUAGUUUUUGGCGAGUUCGCUACGUUUAUUAAUCAGGUUGUUUAAACCUCCUCUGUCGGGUGUUGGAAGACUACACUCCGUGGUCUAAACCUGGCUGCCACCUGUUUCUAGAAGUAAACCGUUAUGGAUCACAGCCGCCCCGCUGGUUUAUGUAUUGUCUGUGGCCGCUCUGCAGUAUGACUUGGUUGAGUCGCUUCAACAGAGACCAUUUUGCUCUGAAAAAAAUCUAAAUUAUUUACUACUUAGCUCUUCCCCGAAGUUGUGUGUCGGCCCUUGAAACCUCAUUCAUCUUUGGGUCCAUCUGUUUUAUCAAAUCCUGAGAGAGGUUACAAUCUGCAGUCGUCACUGCGGACGCGCCUGUUAAUCCUGCAUUUCUAUCAAGGGUUUUUCUUUAUGCGUGUGGGGCUGUGUCACGAGCGAUGCACUUUAGAAUUGUUGCACCUUGUUUGUGAGUGAAGUGCCUGUCACAUGAAGAUCAAGGGUUUGCUUUAUGCGUGUGGGGCUGUGUCACUAGCGGUACAGUUUAGAAUUGUUGCAUCUUCUUUGUGAAUGAAGCGUCUGUCACAUGAAGUGAUCUUUCAUCUCCUCAAGUGUUUUUUGCCCCUGAGUCUGUUUCGUCUGAAAUUCAUGUAGCUGAACCUCUGGGCGGCAUUUGCCUUGUGUAUUCUUCCUAUUCUUUCAUUUUUAACCCUUUUCUAUUUUUAUGUCUUAGAUGUAGCUCGUAAAUGGCAUAUGAUGAAAGUGGGGUUUUUUUUACAAAUUGUAGUUUGAUAAUCUUUUAAAAAAAUUCUGACUUUUUUUUUUAACUGGAGCAUUUCUUUGGUUUCCUGUAAAGGUAAUUACAGAUAGAUUUGGGUUUAAAUCUACCGUCUUAUGUUUUGCUGUUUUAGCUCUGCUAUGUUUCUUUUUUUCAUUCCUUCUCAGAACUGUCUUGUUUUAAAAAAGUUGAUUAUUGAUUUUUUUUUUUAACUCUACCAUUAGGAAGUUAUAGACACUUUCUGUUUCUUUGAUGGUUUUGUAGAAAUUACAACAUUCUUACUCGGCAAACACCUGCAAUUAACUAGUGCUUGACUCUUCGGGGGAUCCAGGGACCUGAGAACCCCUAACUCCCCUUCCACGCGUUGCGGGUAUUUGCUUUUUAACCUCGCUUUGGCCUUACUGCCGUGUGUCUUAGGUUUGUAGACGCACCUGUCGCUUUCCUUGCUCUCUACUUCCCUGGGCCCCUGGGACCUCCCACCUGCGAUCGCUUCUUCCCGCCUGGGUGUACGUGCAUCAGAAGCUCCUUUAGUCAGACUCCGCUGCUGGCCAGCCCUCCCCACUUGAGCUGGGGGUCCCUGCUCCUCCGGAGAUGCACUUGCUGGCUGUAGGCUCUGGCUGGCCGUGGGCUCACCAGCACAUGAGUGACCUCACACCCUGGUCUUUGCCAUCCCUCCUGUGCUGGCACAUCAUUGUCAGGCAGUCUCUCCGCUGAAGGUAAGCUGCCUUUUCCUCUGGCGUUCAUGGUCAAAGUUAAAAACCUUUGCGCUCCAAAGGACACCAUCAAGAAAGUGAAAGGACCACUCACAGGAUGGGAGGAGAUAUUUGCAGAUCACAUAUCCGACAAGGGGCUCGCACCAGCUCAUAGAAGGGGCUCUGACAAGGCUGGGCUGUUGGCGCCCAAAUGCCAGCGAUGCGCUUGACCGCCUGGCCCAUCUUGGGAAGGGACAGUGACGCCAGAAGAGAAAGGCCCUACCGCCUGCAGCGGCGCGUGCGUGGUCCUGAGCCGUUGCUCCAUCCCCCCACCCUCCUGCAUCCCCUUCUGUGCACCUGCAACCCCUGCCCCAGCAGACCAGCCCAGCAGUUCUCAGCUGAGCUGAGUGGCCGCGGCCACUGGGGGGCCCGCUGCCACUCGCCGUGCCCCCUCUGGAUGAGAGGAAAAUGGCACGGAGGUUGCGUGAAGUGUCAUCCGACCCACUUCUAAUCAUGGUGGGAUGACAGGGGCCAGAUUUCCCGUCCCACCUUUAGCCGCUGGAAAGCGUGUGAGGCUGCAAACUUCAAACACCACCCAGUAGGAGCGCACACGUGCGGGCGCUCCCCCAGCGCGUGCUCUCGGGGUGCAGCUGAGCCCGGGGAGUCUGGCCUACGGGACUCCACGAAGGCUGGAGUCUGUGCAGAAGAAUGCUGGAGCAGAUAGGGUUACGUGAAGAAGAAGCCGCAGAGAGCGAGCCUUGGUCUGCACGUGUGUGUGCGAAGGCGGAGUCUGGAAAGGGGCGCGCGUGGUGGUUCUCACAGGGCUGCGGCUCACGGUGUGUUCUCCGGGGCGAAUGGAAGGACCGCAGCACGCGGAGGCCGGGGCGCAUCCUCAGAGGCCGCGCCCAGCGCUAGAUGCCGGCCUGCUCAGGACCCACCGAAGCGGCUUCCGACUCCUCCGAGUCGGUUAACCGCCUCCCCAAGCAAAGCCCAACAACACAACCCGCCCUGCAGCACCUGGUGUCCGCAUGUCCAGGAACGAAGCAAAUCGCUUGUCAGACCAAUGAGCGGGGAAAUGCAACCGGGAGUCGAGAAACGGCAAUGACAGAAGCAGCUCCAGGUGGCUCCCCAGCUCCCAGACGAGAGAAUUGGCGGAGAAGGGUGUUAAAACUCAGCCUGCUGCUGUCAACAUGCUCCAUGUGUUCAGUGACCGAGAAAAGAUGCACAAGAUGAGGAGAGAGUGGAAGAUACAAAAAAGACCCCAGUCUUCUGGAAAGGAAGAGGCUCGGGCAGGACUCGUAGGAGGUCAGCCAUUGCGGAGACAGGCCAGUAUUCCUGAAGACUCAGUGCUGGGAACACCACGCUGAAAUGAAACAAAAAAAAAAAAAAAAAAAAAAAA